GGGAAACGACGGACUUCAACCGCUGCUUUCCGGAACCGUGGGCCCGGAUGCCAGCGUGCAGGAAGGUUAAUGUCUACUUCACAGCACUGGUUGGCAGGUGGGGAGGCAGCCCUGGAGACAUCUAUGUGGGUGCUUUUCGCUUUGUUCUUCCAAGUCCACACGUCGUAAAUGCCGUCAGGAAGAUUUCCCACACCCGCCAGCACCUUCUAGAAGAGGACCUGGCUCGGGCUGGCUGCGUCUGCACGAGAAGAGCUCCUACCGGCACUGCUCAGGCCUCGGUCUGCAGCACCCCACAGGGUCCCUGGAGGGCAGGAGGGGCCGGGCUCCCACCGCGGUGGGGCAGGCGGGCAGGGCCCUGGGCGCGGGCACUGGGCGGGUCCCGGAGCACCGCAGGGCCUUUCCUGCAGGGCCUCAGCACAGGCACAGCGAGGCCCAGAGGGCCCUGCCGGCCACGCAGUAAACCAAGCGCUCAGGCUGCUCUCGCGUGGUGAGAACACAAA